UACAGAGGUCUCAAGCGUUGUUCGGAUUCAUUGGGCGUAAAGGGCGCGUAGGCUGCGGGGCAAGUCGGGUGUGAAAUCUCAGAGCUCAACUCUGAAACUGCACUCGAUACUGCUUUGCUUGAGGACUGGAGAGGAGAUUGGAAUUCACGGUGUAGCAGUGAAAUGCGCAGAUAUCAGGAAGAACACCCGUGGCGAAGGCGGCUCUCUGGGACGGUACUGACGCUGAGACGCGAAAGCGUGGGGAGCGAACAGG
rnacentral:rRNA from 1 species